AGCAGCCGCGGUAAUUCCAGCUCCAAUAGCGUAUAUUAAAGUUGUUGCAGUUAAAAAGCUCGUAGUUGAAUUUCGGGAUCAAUUUGUUGGUCGUGCCUCGGUACGUACUGGCAUUAUUGGUUUCUACCUUCUGAAGAACCUUGAUGUCAUUAAUUUGGUGUCUUGGGGAAUCAGGACUGUUACUUUGAAAAAAU
rnacentral:rRNA from 1 species